CUUUGAAAUUAUGCUGUAAAGAAGAAAUCAUCUCCGCCGCUGCAAGGGCAUAUACAAAGUCCAAGAGGUCAGGGAAGAUAGAAAUAUCGAUUUUCUAGAUCUAGCCACAAUUGAGUAUGACUUUGAAUCAACCUGCACACAAGCAUCAUUCAAAAUAUUUAAACACGUCUUAAGUGGUGAAACAUACAUCCUCGAAAUGAAUUAUACGGAAAUGAUUCACAAGGAUGAAGAGAUGGAGAUUUUUGCAUGGCCUUUGAACAUUCCAAUAGUAGAUUUGUUGAGUAAACUAAUUAUAUUGGUGGAGAUUAAUUAAACAAAUGUUUGUUGUAAGUAAACUAAUUAAUACGCCAAAGUUCAUGUAAUAGUUUUUUGAAUACUUCAUUCUUUUAAUAAAAAAACUUUUGGGCUUUAUUCUUGAAAUUGUAUAAAGCCCAAAAGGAUAUUCCACUGUACACAAAACCCUAACCAAAACCCUAGUUGUUCUCUGAACCUGUAAUAAGACAUCAUUGCUGCUGCUGCUCUGCUGCU